AUGUGUAUUAAGAGCCAGUCAGCGAACCAUGGAGCUGCUCAAGGUAUCUAAGGACAAGCACAUUCUCAAGUUCAUCAAGGAAAGGAUGGGGACACACGUCCGUGCCAAGAGGAAGAGAGAGGAGCUGAGCAAUGUCCUGGCA